CAGAUUUAGACCCAGUUCAGACCCAGGUUCAGACCCAGUCCGACCCAGCUCAGACUCAGAUUUAGACCUAGUCCAGACCCAGGCUCAGACCCAGGUCCAGACUCAGGUUCAGACCCAGGUUCAGACCCAGGCUCGGACCCAGAUUCAGACCCAGGCUCAGACUCAGAUUUAGACCCAGUCCAGACCCAGGUUUAGGCCCAGCUUGUCCCGCCCACUGUGCGGUUGUAAUGUUGUCCUGUGGCUCCUUCUGUCAGCUUAUCGAAACUUUUACUGACUGGACAGUAUGAAGGAAACCAGCUUCAACCCUGCAGCAUCUUCUGACCCAUGACUCAGCGUAAUCUCUACAUGAUGUCCAUGUAGGUCCAGAUUAUUCAGAGGAAUUUCAUAAAAUGGCAUAAGAUGGAUUUCUAUUCUCUAUUUUCUCAUCACAUUCAGUUAUUUUCGCUCUUC